rnacentral:rRNA from 1 species
CUUAUAGAGCACAUGGACGAAAUCGGGGGCGAUAUAGUCCAACAAACGUUGAUAGUGUGUGAUGACAAUCGUCGCAUUCUUCUCGGACUUCAAUUUAUUCACACCGCCGGCAACGAUACGCAGAGCAUCGAUGUCCAGCCCGCUGUCGGUCUCAUCGAGAAUGGAAAGACGGGGUUCGAGCAUAGCCAUCUGGAAUAUCUCGUUCCGUUUCUUUUCUCCGCCCGAAAAACCCUCGUUUACCGAGCGACCGGCCAGUUUAUUAUCCAACUCCACAAUCUCCCGCUUUUCCCGCAUAAGUUUCAAGAAAUCGGUAGCCGACAAUGGUUCAAGGCCUCUGUACUUGCGUUGCUCGUUCACAGCCGUGCGCAUAAAAUUAACCAUACUCACACCCGGUAUCUCCACCGGAUAUUGAAAACUCAAAAAUAUACCUUCGUGAGAACGAUCCUCGGGUGACAAAGCCAAAAGGUCUUUCCCAUAAAACUCGACCGAGCCACGAGUCACCUCAUAAGCCGGAUUACCGGUCAAUACGGCGGAAAGCGUACUUUUCCCCGAACCGUUAGGCCCCAUAAUCGCAUGCACCUCGCCCGGUUUCACUUCGAGGUUUAUACCUUUCAAUAUCUCUUUGCCAUUUAUGCUGGCAUGUAAAUCUUCAAUCUUCAACAUAGAUAUUUCGUUUUAUUCUUUUCUUUAUUUAUUCCCUGCCGUUACCGCAACUACUUGUCCCGCCACGACAUAUACACCACAAGGCAAAUAGUCGGUAUUCAAGCCCUCAACUACAUUCAUUAUCUUCACUAUUUGUCCCGUCACUUUGUAAACAGACAACUGCAUCGACCGAUCACUUUGUACGAACAAACGUCCGUUUGCAGCGUACACUCGACCCACCGAAUGAUCUGCCGGCGAAUCCACUCCAUCGACAAUACGGUCGAUAUGCACCGGAUAGCCGUCGUUUUCCCCGGGAAUAUAUCCCCAAUUCCGGCACGAAGCACCACCUUUCGUCGCAUUAUUAUUCAACGCUUCCAAAAAACCGCUUCCGGCAGACUGCAUCUCAGCCGUACUAUAUGCAAUGCCUUGUUCGUCGACCUCCGUACCUUCUAUGACUGCAUCGCUGUUAUAAUAACAAGAAUGCACGUUCGACUCACUCAACCGGCACACCUUGACACCAGCGACAUCGCUGUAUACAUCGCCUGUCGAAUAACUAUUCCACAAUAACUUAUAAGCCUUUCCAACCAAGCCUCCGACGCUUCCCUGUGAAGAACCUUCCACAUCUAUAUGUGCGUCGAUUAAAGAGAUAUUUCCUCGAUUAUAGCUAUUGUACACCGGUUCUUCACAAUAUCCGACCAGUCCACCUGCAUAAAUAGCAUUCCAACGGGACGAAGAGCGGGGAGCCGAACUUUCGAUUUUCAAACCUCCACGAUUCCAGCAAUCUACAAUCAGGCACCCGGUAUUCUGACCCAUCACUCCCCCGACCGACAACAUCGAACCAUUCGAUUUAACCUCGAUCUCACCCUCGUUGCCACAAGUGUACAACGAAUCGGUUUGCGAACUAUUAUAAGAAUAGGAGCAAACGCCUCCUACCUGUACUUCAAAACCAUCGCUUUCACAAAUCACGGAGUCCCUAUUGAAACUGUGCGUUAUACCCAUGCUCGCCGAGGAAACCCCGCCGACAUAAGCACUCCCUUCAUGGACAUUCACCUUAACGACCGAAUGGUUCUCGCAACUAUCCACCCGGAAUGAAUAAUUACUUGAAAUUCCGCCCACCGACACACUUCCCGAAGUAUUGCCCGAUACGAAAAUAUUUCCCCGGUUCGUACAAGAGACAAUACGAUUCUCUUUACCAUAAACCGGUCCGCAUCUACCCACAAGACCCGACACCCUUAUGUCGGCCAUAUCGGUCGGGUAAGUUCCGACCCGCACGAAAGGUGUAACGAUUUGGGCACUGUCUCAACGAGGGACCCGGUGAAAUUGAAAUACCUGUGAAGAUGCAGGUUACCCGCGACUGGACAGAAAGACCCCAUGGAGCUUUACUGUAACCUGACAUUGGGUUUUGAUACAUUACGUACAGGAUAGGUGGGAGGCUUGGAAAGCUGGACGCUAGUCUGGCUGGAGCCGACGUUGGGAUACCACCCUUGAUGUAUUGAAAUUCUAACCGCGAGAGUAACGAAAUCCGGGACAGUGUCAGGCGGGCAGUUUGACUGGGGCGGUCGCCUCCGAAAGAGUAACGGAGGCGCCCAAAGGUUCCCUCAGCGCGGCCGGAAAUCGCGCGAAGAGUGUAAAGGCAGAAGGGAGCUUGACUGCGAGUCAAACACGACGAGCAGGUACGAAAGUAGGGCUUAGUGAUCCGGUGGUACCGAGUGGAAGGGCCAUCGCUCAACGGAUAAAAGCUACCCUGGGGAUAACAGGCUAAUCUCUCCCAAGAGUCCAUAUCGACGGGGAGGUUUGGCACCUCGAUGUCGGCUCAUCACAUCCUGGGGCUGAAGUCGGUCCCAAGGGUUGGGCUGUUCGCCCAUUAAAGUGGUACGUGAGCUGGGUUCAGAACGUCGUGAGACAGUUCGGUCCCUAUCCAUCGCGGGCGCAAGAGAUUUGAAGGGGGCUGCUCCUAGUACGAGAGGACCGGAGUGGACGAACCGCUGGUGUACCAAUUAUCCCGCCAGGGGUACAGUUGGGUAGCUACGUUCGGAAAGGAUAAACGCUGAAAGCAUCUAAGCGUGAAACCAGCCUUAAGAUGAGAUCUCUCAUAGAGCAAUCUAGUAAGACACCUUAAAGAAGAUGAGGUUGAUAGGUCGGGAGUGUAAGUACAGCAAUGUAUUGAGCGGACCGAUACUAAUAUGUCGAGGGCUUGACUU